GACGAACGCUGGCGGCGUGCUUAACACAUGCAAGUCGAACGCUGAAGCACCAGCUUGCUGGUGUGGAUGAGUGGCGAACGGGUGAGUAAUACGUGAGUAACCUGCCCUUGACUCUGGGAUAAGCCCGGGAAACUGGGUCUAAUACUGGAUGCUACAUGUCACCGCAUGGUGGUGUGUGGAAAGGGUUUACUGGUCUUGGAUGGGCUCACGGCCUAUCAGCUUGUUGGUGAGGUAAUGGCUCACCAAGGCGACGACGGGUAGCCGGCCUGAGAGGGUGACCGGCCACACUGGGACUGGGACACGGCCCAGACUCCGACGGGAGGCAGCAGUGGGGAAUAUUGCACAAUGGGCGAAAGCCUGAUUCAGCGAAGCCGCGUGAGGGAUGACGGCCUUCGGGUUGUAAACCUCUUUCAGCAGGGAAGAAGCCACAAGUGACGGUACCUGCAGAAGAAGCGCCGGCUAACUACGUGCCAGCAGCCGCCGUAA
rnacentral:rRNA from 1 species